GACGAACGCUGGCGGCGUGCUUAACACAUGCAAGUCGAACGGAAAGGCCCUGCUUUUGUGGGGUGCUCGAGUGGCGAACGGGUGAGUAACACGUGAGUAACCUGCCCUUGACUUUGGGAUAACUUCAGGAAACUGGGGCUAAUACCGGAUAGGAGCUCCUGCUGCAUGGUGGGGGUUGGAAAGUUUCGGCGGUUGGGGAUGGACUCGCGGCUUAUCAGCUUGUUGGUGGGGUAGUGGCUUACCAAGGCUUUGACGGGUAGCCGGCCUGAGAGGGUGACCGGGCACAUUGGGACUGAGAUACGGACCAGACGCGUACGGGAGGCAGCAGUGGGGAAUAUUGCACAAUGGGCGGGAGCCUGAUGCAGCAACGCCGCGUGCGGGAUGACGGCCUUCGGGUUGUAAACCGCUUUCGCCGGUGACGAAGCGUGAGUGACGGUAAUGGGUAAAGAAGCACCGGCUAACUACGUG
rnacentral:rRNA from 1 species